rfam:Mustela putorius furo unplaced genomic scaffold scaffold00061, whole genome shotgun sequence.
ACCUGGCUGGCUCAGUCGGCAGAGUAUGUGACUCUUGAUCUCAGGGUCAUGAGUUCAAGCCCCAUGCUAGGUG